rnacentral:rRNA from 1 species
CCUACGGGAGGCAGCAGUGGGGAAUAGUGCACAAUGGGGGAAACCCUGAUGCAGCGACGCCGCGUGAAGGAAGAAGGAUUUCGGUAUGUAAACUUCUAUCAGCAGGGAAGAAAAUGACGGUACCUGACUAAGAAGCCCCGGCUAACGACGUGCCAGCAGCCGCGGGAAUACGUAGGGGGAAAGCGUUAUCCGGAUUUACUGGGUGUAAAGGGAGCGUAGGCGGCGAUGCAAGUCAGAAGUGAAAGCCCGGGGCUCAACUCCGGGACUGCUUUUGAAACUGUCUGGCUAGCUUGCAGGAGAGGCAAGUGGAAUUCCUCGUGUAGCGGUGAAAUGCGUAGAUAUUAGGAGGAACCCCAGUGGCGAAGGCGGCUUGCUGGACUGUACCUGACGCUGAGGCUCGAAAGCGUGGGGAGCAAACAGGAUUAGAUACCCUGGUAGUC